UGAUAAUAAUGAACAUGGAUCCUGCCCUCAAGGUCUUCAUGGCCUAGUGGAGGGAGGGGGCCAAUGAUAAGACAUAUAUACAGUCACAGGAAUCUGAUCCAGGCAGAAAAGGAAGGCUUCCUGGAGGAGGCUGCAUUUGAACUGGGCCUGGCAGGGUUUUAUUGCCUGCAGGUGCUUCACGAUAUUGCGUGGGCUUCUAAUAAACGUCCAGUAAACCGCAGGUAGCGCCUCGGAGAGAGAUGGGCCCGUGCACCUGUCCACAAAGGGCCUCCACAUGCUGCAGCUCCGCCUUCCGUGGCCCAGCCCUGGCACGGUCGGCUCCGGAGACGAUCCUGCCCCUCGGGACGCCUGCAGGGCCACAGCAGUUGGGGCCACGGCUUAUCCAUCAUUGCAAAGAUCUCUCCGAGAGAAAUGAAACAAGUCAGCUCUGCCCAGAGGGGGAGAAAGCUGAACGGCGCAUGGGGCCGCCCGUCCCAGGACCUUCUUGGCUUGGCUCCCGUGGAAGGGCGUGGGCUCCUUCGUCUGAAAACUGCCAAGGGAAUGCAGCCACACGGCUUAAGAGAAAUGGCGCAUCCCUGUGGUUUGGUGUCCAAGUGGACCAUUCAGGACGCUCAACUCAGAGUCCUUCCCAAACUUUGUCCAGCUCCAAGACCAACAGGGGGCUUCCACCGCAGAGGUCCAGACACCUGCACAGAUGUGUCCCUGCUGGGGGGAGGGGGUGGUGGUGAAGGUGGAAACACCAUUUCUAAGCAGCUCCUUAGAAGUGAACAAAUUCUGGUACCUCCGCAUUGUCUCGGGAACCUGCCUCUUUCCUGCCGUCUGUGCUCCCAUCCUCCCAGUGGGGGGGCUGUGGAUUCUCCAACAGGCCCAGGUAGAAUUCUGAGGUCAUCGGAGUCCCUCCUUCAAGCCUCAGUUCUAUCAGUAUCAAACUUCUGGGGAGACUUCAGGGGAAGCAGCAAGUUUGAGCCAAGAACGCAGAAUUGGAAUUCUCUGAUAAAUCCCUCCCAGCUGAGCCGGGAGGGUCUGUAGUUGGCUCAGCAAGCAGGGACGGCAGGAAGGGGCUGGUGCUGGGAAACUUCAAACAGACCUGGGGUGGCGGGGAGGCUGUGCUGAGGGGAGGAGGCCACCGACAGAGGGCUCAGUUAAUUAAAGAGAUGCGUGGGCACACCUAUAGGCUCAGCCCUCUAGGUGUUAAAGCGCCAGCAACUCAAGUUCUGUGCAGGGACUCCCUCCCCCUAGGGGGAGGCCUGGAAGCGGGGGAAGCCUCGAGCCACAUUUAGGAUGGACAUUUGCGGUCUUCUGGAAAGCCCCAGCCAGGGGUCCUUGGCCCUUCCACCAAGAGUUCCAAGGGAACCGAGACUGUUUAAAAGCCUCCUUAAGCAUCAAGGGGUCUCCUGUGUUGCAGGCACUGGGCUGGGCACAUCACCUGGGAGAGGUAGGGGUCAUCAUAUCUCCCAUUUUACAGAUGAGGGAAGUAAGGCUCAGAAGUCACCAGCUCAAGUGCCUAUGGCUGGUGUGUGGGAGAGGCCCGGCUGGAGCUAGGAUUCUCUGACUUAUGCCACUGGCUGGAGCUGGGGACAGGACAGAGACCAGCAAAGGACAGGUGACGGCUGCUUCCAUCUGGCCCUCACCUUGGCCUGCCCCUCACACUGUCCUUGACAUUCAAUCAGGUGCCAGUGAUGUCGGCCCAGAGGUUGGGGCUGGGCCUCCCCAGCUUCCCAGCGACAAAUGGUUCUCAUUUGAAAGGGAGGUUAUAAAAACACAUGCCCAGAGACACUGUCAGGGAACUGAGGAUUAAUCUCAUUUCAGUCAAAGACCAUUUCAAAUAUUUUGGGGGUGGAAUGGGGCGGGCAGCAGCCUGGGUUGGGAAGGAA
rnacentral:lncRNA from 1 species